GACUGGUUUACCGCUUACAUCAGAAGUGUUAUGUGGAGGCUGCGGAUACAGCUCAGGGAGUGAAAGUGUUUGCCACAUAAGCCAGACAACCUGAGUUUGAUCCCGAGAACCCACGUAAAAAGCUCCAUGAAAUGAUGUACACAUGUAAACCUCACACUUCUACAGUGAGGUGGGAGCUGGAGACAGGAGAAUCGCCAGAAGCUCAUGGGUCAGCUAGCCCAGUGUACAUAGCACAAGAGAGACCCUGCUUCAACCAUAGCUGAAGAUGAGAACUGUGAGCCAGAAGGACAUCUUUGUGCUCCAGCUCUCGUUCCAGAUCCACCUGGAAAACAGAGCAAAUCAGGAAAGUGUUUCUUCAGGCCAAGGGGCCAGGCAGGCCAGUGGCUGCUGCGUCCUGACCUGCUGGUAACUGGCAUCCGAGAGUUUGCGGAGUGCUUCUUCCAACUUGGCCUGCUGCUGCUGAAGGAGGCGGUCCUUCUGCCCGAGCUCUUUCUGCAACGGAGAUAAGCUUUCAGAGGUGUGGCAAACACAAGGCCAUCAAGUGGUUCACACUCUGUGAGACCUACCCUGGGAAAAGAAGAGCCUCGGGCACACAGGCUUUCUUCACUCUAUACCUGGAAGGCUUUCCGCACUCUAACAGUUUUAUAUGGUGCCAGGAUUCUUAGAAAGGCAAAAAGGGAGCAAACUGCCUGUACCAGGGAGGGCCGCUAUGGGCCAUUCUCUCUACUGAGAUAGAGGGCAUCCUUUUGAACUGAGAGAGUGUUUUCACACAGAGAAAAUCAAGGUGGCAGAGAGGCACACGACAGCCCCAUGAGUCACAACUCUGAGACACAAGCCUCAGCAAAACAAAGAUGUCUUCCUCAGCAUGUCUCUCUCACCCACCACAAAGCCCUUUCUAGACUCCUGGCACCAAGUCUGUUAAAGACUCCUAGGAAAUCCCAGUAGUCCCUGAGCCGAGUACCUGGCUCUCAACACUCACUAAUAGAUCACUCUACCUCACAGAGGCUUACGAAACAUAAAAUAAAAAAGAGAAAGAAUUGAAUGUCUUCCUUUUACCUUUAUCCCCUGUAAGUUUCUGGCAUCCUGUUUGCAUUUCAGCAGCUCUUUCUAUAAACCAAAUACAGUGAGAUCAGAUGGUGGCAUCUGAGUUGCUUCAUAAGCAUUACCUCAUUCUGUCAGCAAGAAGACAAAACCCAGUUGGCCAUUCCAUGAAGAUUAACCCAUCAGCCGAGGUACAAAGCAGAUGGAGUCCUGAAAGCAGUAAAGACUGACCCUUGGAAACAAGACUAAGACCCCUCUGUCCUCUGUGGCACUCACUGCUGAGCGGCCCAGGUAGAGAAGACUCGUGCUGAGGAAGAAGACACCCCAUCCAGCCCUAAAGGCUCUCCACCAACAGGAAAACCUGACCACAUCAUCUAA